GACGAACGCUGGCGGCGUGCUUAACACAUGCAAGUCGAACGGAAAGGCCCUGCUUUUGUGGGGUGCUCGAGUGGCGAACGGGUGAGUAACACGUGAGUAACCUGCCCUUGACUUUGGGAUAACUUCAGGAAACUGGGGCUAAUACCGGAUAGGAGCUCCUGCUGCAUGGUGGGGGUUGGAAAGUUUCGGCGGUUGGGGAUGGACUCGCGGCUUAUCAGCUUGUUGGUGGGGGAGUGGCUUACCAAGGCUUUGACGGGUAGCCGGCCUGAGAGGGUGACCGGCCACAUUGGGACUGAGAUACGGCCCAGACUCCUACGGGAGGCAGCAGUGGGGAAUAUUGCACAAUGGGCGGAAGCCUGAUGCAGCAACGCCGCGUGCGGGAUGACGGCCCUCGGGUUGUAAACCGCUUUCGCCUGUGACGAAGCGUGAGUGACGGUAAUGGGUAAAGAAGCACCGGCUAACUACGUG
rnacentral:rRNA from 1 species